rnacentral:rRNA from 1 species
AGCAUUAUACCGUGAAACUGCGAAUGGCUCAUUAAAUCAGUUAUCGUUUAUUUGAUAGUACCUUACUACUUGGAUAACCGUGGUAAUUCUAGAGCUAAUACAUGCUGAAAACCCCGACUUCGGGAGGGGUGUAUUUAUUAGAUAAAAAACCAACGCCCUUCGGGGCUUCUUGGUGAUUCAUGAUAACUUCACGGAUCGCAUGGCCUUGCGCCGGCGACGGUUCAUUCAAAUUUCUGCCCUAUCAACUUUCGAUGGUAAGGUAUUGGCUUACCAUGGUUUCAACGGGUAACGGGGAAUUAGGGUUCGAUUCCGGAGAGGGAGCCUGAGAAACGGCUACCACAUCCAAGGAAGGCAGCAGGCGCGCAAAUUACCCAAUCCCGACACGGGGAGGUAGUGACAAUAAAUACUGAUACAGGGCUCUUUUGGGUCUUGUAAUUGGAAUGAGUACAAUUUAAACCUCUUAACGAGGAACAAUUGGAGGGCAAGUCUGGUGCCAGCAGCCGCGGUAAUUCCAGCUCCAAUAGCGUAUAUUAAAGUUGUUGCAGUUAAAAAGCUCGUAGUUGAAACUUGGGCCUGGCUGGCAGGUCCGCCUCACCGCGUGUACUUGUCCGGCCGGGCCUUUCCUUCUGGAGAACCUCAUGCCCUUCACUGGGUGUGCUGGGGAACCAGGACUUUUACUUUGAAAAAAUUAGAGUGUUCAAAGCAGGCCUUUGCUCGAAUACGUUAGCAUGGAAUAAUAGAAUAGGACGUGCGGUCCUAUUUUGUUGGUUUCUAGGACCGCCGUAAUGAUUAAUAGGGACAGUCGGGGGCAUCAGUAUUCAAUUG